GACGAACGCUGGCGGCGUGCCUAAUACAUGCAAGUAGAACGCAGUUGAGAACGGGUGAGUAACGCGUAGGUAACUGCCUCAUAGCGGGGGAUAAAUAUUGGAAACGAUAGGUAAUAACGCAAACUGUAAGAUGGACCUGCGUUGUAUUUGCUAGUUGGUGAGGUAAAGGCACACGAAGGCGACGAUCCAGAGCCGACCUGAGAGGGUGAUCGGGCACACUGGGAAUGGGGCACGGCCCAGACUCCUUCCGGAGGCAGCAGUAGGGAAUCUUCGGCAACUGACGGAAAUCUGGCCGCGCAACGCCGCGGGAGAGGAGAAGGUUUUCAGAGCUGAAAGCUCUGUUGAUAGGGAAGCGGUACCUAACCAGAAAGGGACGGCUAACUACGUGCCAGCAGCCGCGGUAAUUC
rnacentral:rRNA from 1 species